rnacentral:rRNA from 1 species
AAAGAUGAGCAUGCGUCCCAUUAGCUAGUUGGUAAGGUAACGGCUUACCAAGGCAACGAUGGGUAGGGGUCCUGAGAGGGAGAUCCCCCACACUGGUACUGAGACACGGACCAGACUCCUACGGGGAGGGCAGCAGUGAAGAAUAUUGGUCAAUGGGCGCAAGCCUGAACCAGCCAUGCCGCGUGCAGGAUGACGGUCCUAUGGAUUGUAAACUGCUUUUGCACAGGAAGAAACCCUCGGUCGUGACCGAGCUUGACGGUACUGUGAGAAUAAGGAUCGGCUAACUCCGUGCCAGCAGCCGCGGUAAUACGGAGGAUCCAAGCGUUAUCCGGAAUCAUUGGGUUUAAAGGGUCCGUAGGCGGCCAGAUAAGUCAGUGGUGAAAGCCCAUCGCUCAACGAUGGAACGGCCAUUGAUACUGUUUGGCUUGAAUUAUUUGGAAGUAACUAGAAUAUGUAGUGUAGCGGUGAAAUGCUUAGAGAUUACAUGGAAUACCAAUUGCGAAGGCAGGUUACUACAAAUUGAUUGACGCUGAUGGACGAAAGCGUGGGUAGCGAACAGGAUUAGAUACCCUGGUAGUCCACGCCGUAAACGAUGGAUACUAGCUGUUGGGAGCAAUCUCAGUGGCUAAGCGAAAGUGAUAAGUAUCCCACCUGGGGAGUACGUUCGCAAGAAUGAAACUCAAAGGAAUUGACGGGGGCCCGCACAAGCGGUGGAGCAUGUGGUUUAAUUCGAUGAUACGCGAGGAACCUUACCAAGGCUUAAAUGUAGAUUGACCGGUUUGGGAACAGACUUUUCGCAAGACAAUUUACAAGUGGCUGCAUGGUGGUCGUCAGCUCGUGCCGUGAGGUGUCAGUUAAGUCCCUAUAACGAGCGCAACCCCUGUUGUUAGUUGCCAGCGAGUCAUGUCGGGAACUCUAGCAAGACUGCCAGUGUAAACUGUGAGGAAGGUGGGGAUGACGUCAAAUCAUCACGGCCCUUACGCCUUGGGCUACACACGUGCUACAAUGGCCGGUACAGAGAGAGAGC